rnacentral:tRNA from 1 species
GGAGAGAUGUCAGAGAGGCCGAAUGAGCACGAUUGGAAAUCGUGUAUACGCCAUAAGCGUAUCGGGGGUUCAAAUCCCCCUCUCUCCGCCA